GCAAGUCGAACGAGAAAGGGCACCUUCGGGAGCCUGAGUAAAGUGGCGAACGGGUGAGUAGCACGUGGGUGACCUGCCCUAUGGAGGGGGAUAACCCGGGGAAACCCGGGCUAAAACCGCAUAAGCCUUUGAUGUCAAAGUCAAAGGGAAAGGGGAAAGGCUUUCGAGCCGAUUUCUGCCGAAGGAGGGGCCCGCGUCCCAUUAGCUAGUUGGUGGGGUAAUGGCCUACCAAGGCUACGAUGGGUAGCCGGUCUGAGAGGACGGACGGCCACACUGGAACUGAGACACGGUCCAGACUCCUACGGGAGGCAGCAGUGGGGAAUUUUGGGCAAUGGGCGAAAGCCUGACCCAGCAACGCCGCGUGGAGGACGAAGGCCUUCGGGUCGUAAACUCCUGUCCGAGGGGAAGAAAAAAAUGACGGUACCCUUGGAGGAAGCCCCGGCUAACUCCGUGCCAGCAGCCGCGGUAAGACGGGGGGGGCGAGCGUUGUUCGGAAUUACUGGGCGUAAAGGGCGCGUAGGCGGCCUGGGAAGUCUUGGGUGAAAGCCCCCAGCUCAACUGGGGAAUGGCCUGAGAAACCACUGGGCUGGAGUGCUGGAGAGGGAAGCGGAAUUCCCGGUGGAGCGGUGAAAUG
rnacentral:rRNA from 1 species